AACGAACGCUGGCGGCAUGCCUAACACAUGCAAGUCGAACGAGACCUUCGGGUCUAGUGGCGCACGGGUGCGUAACGCGUGGGAACCUGCCUUUAGGUUCGGAAUAACUCAGAGAAAUUUGAGCUAAUACCGGAUGAUGUCUUCGGACCAAAGAUUUAUCGCCUUUAGAUGGGCCCGCGUAAGAUUAGCUAGUUGGUGGGGUAAAGGCCUACCAAGGCGACGAUCUUUAGCUGGUCUGAGAGGAUGAUCAGCCACACUGGGACUGAGACACGGCCCAGACUCCUACGGGAGGCAGCAGUGGGGAAUAUUGGACAAUGGGCGAAAGCCUGAUCCAGCAAUGCCGCGUGAGUGAUGAAGGCCUUAGGGUUGUAAAGCUCUUUUACCCGACGAUGAUAAUGACAGUAUCGGGAGAAUAAGCUCCGGCUAACUCCGUGCCAGCAGCCGCGGUAAU
rnacentral:rRNA from 1 species